AAUAUUGGACAAUGGGGGAAACCCUGAUCCAGCCAUGCCGCGUGUGUGAAGAAGGUCUUCGGAUUGUAAAGCACUGUAAGUUGGGAGGAAGGGCAGCAAGUUAAUACCUUGCUGCUUUGACGUUACCGUCAGAAUAAGCACCGGCUAACCUCCUGCCAGCAGCCGCGGUAAUACGAAGGGUGCAAGCGUUAAUCGGAAUUACUGGGCGUAAAGCGCGCGUAGGUGGUUCAGUAGGAUGGGUGUGAAAUCCCCGGGCUUAACCUGGGAACUGCUUUCAAAACUGGCAAGCUAGAGUAUGGCAGAGGGUGGUGGAAUUUCCUGUGUAGCGGUGAAAUGCGUAGAUAUAGGAAGGAACACCAGUGGCGAAGGCGACCACCUGGGCUAAUACUGACACUGAGGUGCGAAAGCGUGGGGAGCAAAC
rnacentral:rRNA from 1 species